rnacentral:rRNA from 1 species
GUAGGGAAUAUUGGGCAAUGGUCGGAAGACUGACCCAGCCAUGCCGCGUGCAGGAAGACGGCCCUCUGGGUUGUAAACUGCUUUUAUCUGGGAAGAAAAAGGCCAUGCGUGGCAAAUUGCCGGUACCAGAUGAAUAAGCACCGGCUAACUCCGUGCCAGCAGCCGCGGUAAUACGGAGGGUGCGAGCGUUGUCCGGAUUUAUUGGGUUUAAAGGGUGCGUAGGCGGCUGAGUAAGUCAGCGGUGAAAGACUUCGGCUUAACCGGAGCAGUGCCGUUGAUACUGGUUGUCUUGAGUGUCGGAGGGGUACAUGGAAUUGAUGGUGUAGCGGUGAAAUGCAUAGAUACCAUCAGGAACACCGAUAGCGAAGGCAUUGUACUGGCCGACAACUGACGCUGAUGCACGAAAGUGUGGGGAUCGAACAGGAUUAGAAACCCUUGUAGUCC